rnacentral:rRNA from 1 species
UACAGAGGGCUCGAGCGUUAAUCGGAAUCACUGGGCUUAAAGGGUGCGUAGGCGGACUCGCAAGUGCUUUGUGAAAUCCCAUGGUUCAACCAUGGAACUGCUUGGCAUACUGCAAGUCUUGAGGUCGGUAGGGGAUGCCGGAACUCUAGGUGGAGCGGUGAAAUGCGUAGAUAUCGGGAGGAACAUCAGUGGCGAAGGCGGCUACCUGGCCCAAUACUGACACUCAGGUGCGACAGCGUGGGGAGCAAACAGG